rnacentral:rRNA from 1 species
GACGAACGCUGGCGGCGUGCUUAACACAUGCAAGUCGAACGAUGAACCGGAGCUUGCUCCGGGGAUUAGUGGCGAACGGGUGAGUAACACGUGGGCAACCUGCCCCAGACACCGGGAUAACCUUCCGAAAGGAUGGCUAAUACCGGAUAUGACCACUUCGGGCAUCCGACGGUGGUGGAAAGGAUUCUGGUCUGGGAUGGGCCCGCGGCCUAUCAGCUUGUUGGUGGGGUAAUGGCCUACCAAGGCGACGACGGGUAGCCGGCCUGAGAGGGCGACCGGCCACACUGGGACUGAGACACGGCCCAGACUCCUACGGGAGCAGCAGUGGGGAAUAUUGCGCAAUGGGCGAAAGCCUGACGCAGCGACGCCGCGUGAGGGACGAAGGUCUUCGGAUUGUAAACCUCUUUCAGCAGGGACGAAGCGAAAGUGACUGUACCUGCAGAAGAAGCACCGGCUAACUACGUG